AAUAAUUAUCUAAACAUAAGAACCAUAAAUAAAAUAGCAUGCAAUAAUAUCCGACAGUAACUACCAUAAAUAACUACCAUAAGGGAGACACAAUCCAAUACACAAAUCAUCUAUGGAUAGCCCUGCCAAGCCUCACCCAACCUCGGGUGCCGACAGUAACUACCAUAAAUAACUACCAUAAGGGAGAUACAGUCUAAUGCACAACCCCGGGUGAGGAGUACGAAAAACUCUAGGAGCCCCUAUCCUACGACCAUGAUACUAGACCUCCAGACUUUCCUAUCAAGGGCCAUGUCCUCGGAAACCCGAAUUCUAUCCAUGUCAUGCCUAAUCACCUCUCCCCAUUACCUCUUAGGCCUCCCUCUGCCUCGCCGUAUGCCGACCAUC
rnacentral:lncRNA from 1 species